GACGAGCAGCGAAGCUAUGGAAAUGAAGCCCUCCUUGUUCGUUCUAAAUAUUUUCCGUAUUGAUAAAAGUAAACAUCUCAAAGGAAGGAUAUGAUGAGGAGGAAGGUAGAGAAUGAUAUCAAUGAAUGAAUAAGGGCAGACAACUACAAAGAUUGGGAGGCGAUGAAAAGUUAAGAUCAGAGGCACAAAGCUAAGCAGAGAUGAUGAU